rnacentral:tRNA from 1 species
GCCUGAGUCGCUCAGUGGUUGAGCAUCUGUCUUAGGCUCAGGUCAUGAUCCUGGGGUCCUGGGAUCGAAUUCCACAUCAGGCU